rnacentral:rRNA from 1 species
GAUGAACGCUAGCGACAGGCUUAACACAUGCAAGUCAAGGGGCAGCGGGGUAGGAAGCUUGCUUUCUGCCGCCGGCGACCGGCGCACGGGUGAGUAACACGUAUGCAACCUGGCCGUGACAGAUGGAUAACCGGGAGAAAUCCCGCCUAAUACAACAUAAUGCCGGGAGGGGACAUCCCCUGCCGGCCAAAGGGGGCGACCCCGGUCAUGGAUGGGCAUGCGGCGCAUUAGGUAGUUGGUGGGGCAACGGCCCACCAAGCCGACGAUGCGUAGGGGUUCUGAGAGGAAGGUCCCCCACAUUGGAACUGAGACACGGUCCAAACUCCUACGGGAGGCAGCAGUGAGGAAUAUUGGUCAAUGGCCGGAAGGCUGAACCAGCCAAGCCGCGUGAGGGAAGAAGGUACAGCGUAUCGUAAACCUCUUUUGCCGGGGAACAAGAGCUUCCACGAGUGGGAGUGUGAGCGUACCCGGAGAAAAAGCAUCGGCUAACUCCGUGCCAGCAGCCGCGGUAAUACGGAGGAUGCGAGCGUUAUCCGGAUUUAUUGGGUUUAAAGGGUGCGUAGGCGGCGAGUUAAGUCAGCGGUAACAGCCCGGGGCUCAACCCCGGCCCGCCGUUGAAACUGGCUGGCUUGAGUUGGGGAAAGGCAGGCGGAAUGCGCGGUGUAGCGGUGAAAUGCAUAGAUAUCGCGCAGAACCCCGAUUGCGAAGGCAGCCUGCCGGCCCCACACUGACGCUGAGGCACGAAAGCGUGGGUAUCGAACAGGAUUAGAUACCCUGGUAGUCCACGCAGUAAACGAUGAAUGCUUGCUGUCCGGGGGGAUUUGCCCCUGGGGGGCGCAGCGAAAGCAUAAGCAUUCCACCUGGGGAGUACGCCGGCAACGGUGAAACUCAAAGGAAUUGACGGGGGCCCGCACAAGCGGAGGAACAUGUGGUUUAAUUCGAUGAUACGCGAGGAACCUUACCCGGGCUUAAAUUGCACCUGAAUAAUGUGGAAACAUGUUAGCCGUAAGGCAGGUGUGAAGGUGCUGCAUGGUUGUCGUCAGCUCGUGCCGUGAGGUGUCGGCUUAAGUGCCAUAACGAGCGCAACCCUUAUCUUCAGUUACUAACAGGUCAUGCUGAGGACUCUGGAGAGGCUGCCGUCGUAAGAUGUGAGGAAGGUGGGGAUGACGUCAAAUCAGCACGGCCCUUACGUUCGGGGCUACACACGUGCUACAAUGGGAGGUACAGAAGGCCGCUACCUGGCGACAGGAUGCCAAUCCCCAAAACCUCUCUCAGUUCGGAUCGAAGUCUGCAACCCGACUUCGUGAAGCUGGAUUCGCUAGUAAUCGCGCAUCAGCCAUGGCGCGGUGAAUACGUUCCCGGGCCU